ensembl:lncRNA
UGUGCUCCCCACAGUGCCUUUAGAAAUCCCCAAUUUUUUCUCAUUAUUCAUGUUUUUAUCAAAGUUAAGGCUUACAGUUACCACCCCUGGGAUACUGCAUGUGUUCCUCCUUUGGCACAAAGCUCCUGCUUCAGCCACAGCCACCUUUUGGAAAGACAUCCAUCCUGCCAUUAGAACUACUGUUUCCAGGCUCUGGAUCUGCCUGUGUUUUCAGCUACUCACUGAAGCCCCUCUUAUCAUCACAAAGCUUUUUCUGAGCUGGCAUUUGUAGGCUGUAAUCAAGUUACCCACCUGUCUCCUCUUUCAAAGAAAACAGAUUGGGUUUCUUUAAUCUGCCCCCUGCAAACCCAGCUUAGGCAACCUUCUGCAGCCAGAAAUGGUUCUCCUGAACAACGCACACGCGAUCCGAGAGAAGACACAGCCACGCCAUCCUGGCACUGGGUGGGCUCUGCUGAGGGGCUGCUGCAUCCUCACAGGGGUCACGUCCUCAUAUAGAGCCUCCCUGGGAAUGGGCUUUGGUCCCUUGCAUGUUUCUCCUCGGGAGCUUUGGGCACCAGCUCUGUCCUCCUGCAGCCUGGGGCAGGGUGUACACCCACAGGGGAUGCAGGGCAAUGUAUGAAGGCAGGAAAAAGCUCCCAGUGCAACACGCCUUCUGCAAUUUGCUUUUCUGCUCAUGCUACAAUAUUGAUUUCAAAACCCCUCUCCUGCUUAUUUAGUUCUGAAGUGGAGCAGCGCGCCGAUGGGCUGGGAGCAGCUCCCGAGUCGAGGGAGUGUAUCGUACAUGGCUAAUUGUAUGGUCUGCACUGCCUUUUAUCUUAGCUUGCAAUUCAUUUAGCAGCAGAUCUCUCUGUUCGUCAGUUUUGAUUCCUGGGGUACCAGAUAAUUUCAUUUGCAGAUGGAUUUUAUGCUUUCUGAUACUUCAGUAACCCCAUUUGGUAUAAGCACAGCUCUUCAUUUCCCUGCGAGGACGCGGACAACGAGCAGGAGCUGAGCACAAAAACAGCCAUUUAUUUAACCAGCGAGUACAAUUUCCCGUGCCCCGUUUCUCACCAACCUCACCAGCCUCUGUGCAGGUGCCACAUGCAGGUGAGGCAGACAUGGCUCGUUUCCAGUUCUGUUUGCAGGUAGCAUUUUCUCUGCACUGUGCUGCAGGACAGCGUGGAGUGGACACCCACUGCCUAUAUCUCAGGGAUGAGCUGCUCUGCAGAGGGACUCACGUGUUGCUGACUGCAGUGCUACGGGCUUCGGUGUAUGGGAUGCAUUGGACCUCCUGUUGCUGCAGUGACGUGAGCCUUCCAGCCUCCCUCAGCAAUCAGCAAAAUGCACCGUGGGAUCAGAGAGCGAGAAAAGCUUCAUCCCAAAUAGCUCCCGAUUACCAUUUACACUCCUUACUUCUUGUCCUCUCAGAUCGAUACUGCUCUUAAGUACUGCAAAUUGGAGGAGAGCCAUCAAAAUGCUCUAUUUUCACAACAGACGUACGAUGAGAUCACCGGCUCCGAGCCACCAACCCCUUUAUGUCAACGAUUUCUCCAAAGGAACUUUCCGUGUCAUUUCCGAUACCACUUUCAAAGACAAAUAGCAGGAAGUGCUCUUUGAAUCCCAACGUGACUUCUCACGCUGGAACACGUUGGUUAAUUUGGACGGCAGCAGUAAAAUGUGUUGAAAACGAUGGAAAUACCAUAAACCAGCACAGAAAGUGAGCCCAUUUCAAUCCUCCAGAAGAGACCAGCAUGUUUUGUUUGUUAUAUUCUUCAUAUAUCCACAAGUUAAUGAAGAGUGGGUUUUUUUUCCUUUCAUUUUUUUCUCUUCAUCAGUCAACAUGGGUUGGUUUUCCUCUCUCUAUUUUUUUUUCUUUAUUGAGGGGAAGGAACUGCGCAGAGGAAAGGGAAUCAAAGGGAAAGCUCUUGGAAGGCCAUGAGAGCCUUGAAAGGAGAGCAGCCUCCUGCACACUGGGCAAGGAGGUGGCAGCCUGCAGGUUGGUGACAGCAGUGUUUCGGGCCCCGCCAUCCCCGUGAGCACCCCCAGUGUCAGAUGUCCAAGCCAUGGGGCACAGCAGAGCAGCAGAAGAGCUGAGUGGAGAAGGGUGUUGGAGCGGCUGCAUUGCAAAAUGGCUCAUUUUCCUUUGAGAUUAAUUGGCUGAAUUCUGACGAAACCUGUUAUUAACCGAACACCGCCACCUGCUUAAUUGAGUUCUGUGCAAAGCGCUCCCAGAAACUGGAAGCCUUCCCCCCUCCUCCAGCGCCUGUGUUCAUCUCCAUCCAGGGAAAUUCAUGAGAAUUUGUUAAAAAAAAACACACAAAAAACAUUGGCAAUUCAGAGCCAAAGGCAACAGGCCUCUCAACAUGUCCAAAUACAAACUGUUCUAAUGAAUGUCUGCUGUCAAAUGGCCAGGACAAAAAAAAAAGGAGAAACAGGACAGCAAACGGAGCUACAACUUCAGCAGUCACCUGCUGAAGGAUCCUGUGAAUCAAAGAGGAGUAACCGCCCACCCCUGCUCUGCCUACAGUGAUUCAAGGCAGACAGCAUCAGCCUGAUGCCCCAGGUCUUACAUUUUGUAAUGGAAAGUUAGCUGGAGAGAGAGUGCACCACUUGGUCCUGGAUGGUGGUGUGCGGGCAACGCCUCCAUCAGCAGCAGGAAGAGGAAUGGGAACCAGCCCAUCCUUGGGGUCUCCUGCACCACAGCACAGCCUGGGUCUUCAUACAGCAGAGAACAGCCUGCUAUGUACAUUCAGUGCAUAUUCCCCAUGCAUUUGGCUCGCAGGCUCUGCCCCAGUGGCUCUGGGUCCUCUGCCACCGUGCCAUGGGGCUGUGCAGCACUCAGAGCAACCACAUCAAUAUUCAUCUCUUUGUAAAGAUGACCUGCCCCUGCUGCUCAGAGUCACUUCAGAUUAUUCGUAUCGAUCCAGCACUGUUAAUGAUUAAAUACAAUGUUCUUCAAAGCUUGCAUUUAACAAGAAAGCUUGAUUGGAUUUACUGUUUUGAGGUUGGGUGUGUUGUUUUCCGUUAUUUUGCUUCCCCCCUUGUCUUUGUGGAACAUCGUGUCAUUUUGCAAAUGAAGAAUUACCCUCUUGCCUUUUAUUAAAAGCUUCCUUCUAAAGGAUUCACAUUGCGUUGCUGAAUCAGAUGGAUGCUGUGUUGCAACACCCACUGCCACCUCAGUCCACCCCCCGCCAGCCACCCGCAGUGCAGGGACAUUGGGUGUAGGGGUACCAGCUCUGGGUGCUGCCACCCUACAACAAGUCCAUGCCCACACCCCUCCGGGCUCAGCAAAUCAGCAGUGCUGGGGUCAGCGGUACCCAAAGCCCUCUGUAUUUUUCAGGAUCGUUAGAAAAGAGACGUUGACAUUUGUGUCCCAGCUUUUGUCAGCUGAGACAAACAACCACAACAUCUGAUGCCAGUCCUGGAGAACGUUCCAUGCCUUUAAAGAGAAAAUCAAAAGACAAAAGCACCAAAAGAAGUUUAGCUGAUGUUCUCCAUUUGCAACGCUGAGAGGGCAACCUGAAAACCCCAGCACAACCUACAGUGCAGUUUUACCUUUGUGUUUCCACCGUCCAUCCAAAUGCCAUCCUCCAUUGGCAAUGCACGGAAUUGGAUCUGAAGGAGGAAUAAGCUCCAUGCACCAUGAUGCAAUUGCUGCACACCCCUGGGGAAGUGCUAUGGGAGAGUUUCACUGCAAAAAGAGCUGUCAUUGCAUUUAUUUUUCUGCUUGUCUGAGUGAGAAAACAAGGCUCAAUCACACAUUGUAAGAGAAGAAAAACAAGGAGAGGACAUGGCAGUGAAACCAUCGAGCUAGCACUUGUUAGUAGCAGUUUGAAAGGAAGGGAAAUCAAAGUUCCAGUGAGAAGUCAGUGUCCUGGCAAAGCACAGCCACGAAGCAGCAGCAGAGGACAGCCCACCAGGAGCCCUGUGCUGCCCACUGGGGAGGGUGCUGUGCAGUGCCACUUGGGCUGAGGACAGAGCGCACAGCAGCCCCAGCGCUACCCAUAGCAGCAGCAGAGCUAUGUACCCAUGGGCAUGUGUGUGUUUGUGCCCAACUCCCCACGCCUGAUAGGAGAUGGAUAAAUAGAAGUGACCCAGAGGUCUGGGGUUACAUCUGCUUAGACUCAAUGACUCGAAAUCCAUUUCAGGCUCCUUGGAGGCCCUGUUCAGCGCUGUCAUGCUGGAGCCAGGAUAUUAAGGGCACCUGUCAGGGCUAUUUCAGGAACCAGAGGCCUCCCUCCCCUGCAUGCUGAGCUCACGGCGUAUCAGAUGAGGUCUGCUGGAGCAGUGCACAUGGAAAGUCUGGUUUUCCAGUGAGAAGUCUGGAUGAGAAAGUGACUUUCUGAGCCCCCUUGUCACUGCCGGCUCCAGCUCUGACCAUGACACCAGGAUACAGAUGGGGGCAACCAGGCUUGCUCUUCAUUGAGGGCUAUUUCUACAAAUACCUCAUGUUUUCUCUUUCUAACCGCUGCCACAGGCUUCAGUUCCCCCUCAGCAUGACCUGAGCUGACCUCAGGCACAUCCGCAUGGCCAUUUGGGCUCCAGCACAGCCUGUCCCUGCAGGGCUGUGGUAAU